GAGAACUAUGGGAAUGUGGCUCCUCCAGCAGGUCCUGCUCCAAACCCGCCUUCAUGUCUUGGUUGGAAGCAAGGGAGCCCUGCGCCCUGAAUGUCCAGACCACUCAGUCUAAGAGGCUUCCGGGUUCUGCCCCUACAGGAGGUGAGCUCCAGAUGAAGACAAACAAAUUGGUCUUAAAGCAAGAACCUGUGGAAGAUGCUGUGCCAGCCAGGUGUCCUGCGACAAGUGUUCCAGAGUGGGCGGGGCCUGGAGAGUCUUUGGAACAGCAGAGCUGGCUAAUGAAGCAUUACAUGAGAUUUAAGAAGGAAGAGUCUGAUUUCAGUCCCAUGGCGGGGACAGAAUCGGAAGCAUCAGGAAGAAGUGACACUCUUGACCUAAAGUAUGUUUCAUAGUUGAGAGUUUCCAGGAAAAAGUGAUCCCUGAUACACGGCUGUGACAGACUCUUGAGGAAAAAUUCACACCAUUAGGACUAAAGCAAACAAGGAAAGGGGCACAAACAUGUGGUGGGGGGCUUCAGCCUCCAUCAGAGGAUUCAUACUGGGCUGAUGGAGUGAAAAGGACACCUGAGGGAAGGGCUUCAGCCUCGGUGCUGCUUACCCCCAUGAGCAAGGUCUGUUUGCAGUGGGGACAUUGUACAGGUAUCAGGACUGUGGGAGGACCUUCAAAUGGAGCGCCCAUCUCGAGUACCACCAGAGACUUCACAGCCAAGAGAAGCCACUUAAGUGCAGUGUAUGUGAGAAAGCCUUCAACUCUAAAUGCAUACAGUAUGAGAAGAAUCACACUGUAGUGAAGCUGUACAAGUGUGGUUUAUGUGACAAAGCAUUCCAGUGUAUGUCAGCCUACCAUCUGCACCAGGAAACCCACACCAAGCAGAAAGUGGAGUCAAAUCAGUGUGAGGAAACCCUCACCUACGCCUCAGAGCUGGAUCCUCAUUUGAGAGACCAGACUGGGGAGAAGCCCAUGGACUGCAGCCAGGGAAAACCUUCUGGUGGAGGUCCAACUUCACGCAUCACGUGAGGCUGCACUAGGACGAGGAGUUCUGUGCACCGCGUCCAUGUCAGGAUGAUGUCAGCCAGGACUUCCAUCAGCUUCAGGGGCCCCCUGUUGUGGAGAACACUUUUCUGUGUCAGCAGUGUGGGAGAACUUUUACUCCAAAGAAAACCCUCCUCGAGCACCAGAGAAUCCACACAGGCAAGAUGCCAUACCAGUGUAAAUGUGGGAAAAGGUUCACCUAUAGGUCAGCCUUCAUUGUUCACAAGAAGAAGCAUGCCAUUAAAAGAAAACCAGAGCCUGGGACAUCCUUUAGUCAGAUCUGUGCGUUCCAAGUUCCACAGAGCAGUUGCCUCCCAGAGGAGCCCCACAAGUGUAGCCAGUGUGGCAAGGCCCUCUGUAAUCACUCCUUCCUCCUCAUCCACCAGAGAGUUCACACCAGGGAGAAGCAUUACAAGUGCCGGGAGUGCGGAAAGGCCUUCAGAUGGAACUCCAAUCUCUACCGGCACCAGAGGAGGCACUCCGUGCACUGACAGCACAAGGACCAUCAAAGGAAUGUGCCUCCACAUUUGUCACUGAAAGUCCUCACUGAUCAGAAAUCUUUUUGGUGCCAAGAAUGUGGGAAAACCUUUACACGUAAAAGAAAUCUCUUAGAUCAUAAGGGAAUCCACAGCGGAGAGAAGCUUUAUAAAUGCAAUGUGUGUGGGAAGUCUUAUGAUAGAAAUUACUGUCUUGUUAAUCAUCAGAGAAUCCACACUUCAGAGAGACCUUUCAAAUACCAGUGGACUGAGAAAGAGUUCAUUGGGAGACACAUGCUUUCUGUCCACCAGAGAAAACACCCCCAAGUCACACAGUUGGAAUGUAGCUCGUUGGGGUUGUUGUCCUUUCAGGACACAAGGCUGAGUGUACAGGAACUAAAACCAAGUGAAAAGAAACCUCUAAAAGAUGCUGAGGAACCUUGUGACCGGUGCUUGGUGUUCACGGGACUCCAGGACACGCAGCCUGGGAAGAAGUGCCACAGAUGUAGUAUAUGUGGGAAAGCUUUUAGCAAGGAAUUCCUGCUCAUUAACAGAGAUUUCAAGACCCUUCAAGUGCAGAGUGUGAGGGAAGACCUUCAGAUGGUCUUCAAAUUUGGCUCAGCACAUAAAAAGCUGUAUUCGAGAGUAGCUGGGGACCUGCCACUGACAGCGGGGUGGGUGGUGGGUCCUCAGGACUCUCUGGAGAGCCCCUGGUUGUAGGCAGUGUGGGGAAAACCUUUACAAGGACCCAGCCCUUUCUAUUUGGGGAGCUAAUGGCAGGGAAUCCUGAGAAUCUAAAAGCUCAGGGAGUCCCCUGCCUACCUGCCAGGAAGCAAUACCAGGAACAGCAGCAGCAGCAACAUGUUCUUUGGAGCCCAGGUAGAGGCCCAGGCCCCAGGAGGAGUCUUGCAAAUAGCCCAGGCUUCCCUUGGCCAGGUCUCCGUUAUCAGCUAAGGACAAGAACAUUGCCCUUUGGGAUUGGACAGCGUGUGUGUGGCCUGGUGGGCUGUGGCCUCUGCCAAGGGGCUAGUGGAGCCUUGGUUUCUCUUUAGGUUUGGUUUGUGAUGGUGUCUACUCUGUUGUCAUUAAAAGCAAGCAUGUCAAGAACCAGUCUUCCCCCAGGUGUCUCCUGAGGAGUUCUGGCUGGGCCUCAGCUUCAUGGCGGGCUCUUAGCUGCUGCUGAGGCAUAGAGGCAUCUGCAGCAGGUGGGAGAGAGCAGGCUAGUGGUCUCAGUUACUUGGAGAAUGGAGUUCCACCAUGACCACAUUGCCAUCUCCACCCUACAGGGCUACAUGGGCAGCAGAGCACCUGCCCCAUGUUGGGCACCAGUGUGGCCAGUACAACAAGUACAGCCUGCUGUCUCCACCUUCACAGAAACAUGGGAGUGGUGUCCUGGGUCAUGUGCUGAGGACAGAGUAGGGGAAGAGUGCAGGAAUGUUGCACUGAGGUGAUGUUCAGUAGGCUUCCAGGAAGGGCUAGACAGAAGGUGAGAUUGGAGCAAACACUGGGAGGAGGUAGGGAUGUGCCAUACGGAUCACUGGGAGAGCUCCAGGCAGAAGAGCAGGGCAGAGGUGGGGACUUGGCUGGCAUUCUAGGGCACAGCAGGGAGGGCCCAGGGUAGAGUGGAGUGGGCCAGCUGGGAGAGGAUACGGGCCAGGCCAUGUGAGCACUAGGGGUCACCUGGAGCCAGCAAGCUUCAGGGCCCUUCUGAGGACAGUAGUGGUCUGGAUAGGAAUCAGUCUGCGUGGGCUCACCAAGGAUGGGGCCUGAGGAAAUGGGGAGGCUGAGGCUUCUCUGAGGUCCAUCUGUGGCCAGUUCCUCUGAAUGGGACUCUGUGCUAUGCGCUCUGACUUCUCCAUAGACUUUGGCCCGAGAGGAUGGAAACAGCUGCCAUAGGGCUGUGCCUCUGCCCGCUGUGGCCUCCUCCACAGACUUCCCCCUGGGUUAGGGGUCCGCUUUGGUGUCAGGCUCAGCCCAGAGGCGCUGUGCUUGUGUCUGCUGCCCUCAGGAGUGGGGGCCUGGUGAGUGUGCCUCCCUUACUUGCCCACCCACUUGUGUUGAAGCAGAAAGCAAGGACCACCUUGGUGGUGCAGAGGACUGAUGUUUCUCAGGUGCACGUGAGCACUGUUUCACUGUUUUGAAUUCCUGAUGACUCGAAGCACAGGUGCGCGGGGUGGUGUCGCCAGUGGAGAGGUGUGUUUCACUGCUGAGCUGCAAGUUGGCUCCCGGGCGGGCCAUGUCUUCUAAGGAGAAACCCAGCCUGAGACGGGCGCAUGGUAGUGUGCUGGAUCCUCUUGUGCUCUAGGGACUGCUGUGCACAAGUGAGCGUGAAGGCAGUGAGACACACAGUGUCGGCACAGGCACGGAUGGGUGGAGCGGGCGUCUCCUCUCUGUGUUGUGCUGCGUUUUCAACUUUGUCAUCUUAGAUGGCCCUGCCAUCCCGUCACCUUUCAACAGUGGAAUCGUGUGUCCCUUGGCUGGCGUGCCCAAAGCUGGCACUACACAUGGUUGGGCAGUGGCCAGGGUACCAUGUGCAUCUGGCCAGGUCAAGGAAGAGCCUUGGGGUCUUCGGGUCUGGGUCCCUGGCUCUGGGCACCUUGUCCCUUUUCUGAGCCAAUGGUCUUGGGGAGCCGGGGAACCUCGGCAGUGGUUUCUUCCUGUGUGUGGUAGGCCAGGCCCUGCUGGCUGCCUCCCAAGCCUGUGGCUGGCCUAGCUUCCUGAGGAGGGUGAGGUGUUGAUUCUGGGGCUGGAGCCCUCACAGAGGUGCUGCUCCCCUGUCAACUGGUGCUGUGGCUGAAAAUAGCCUUCUCCUAUUUCAAAUUCCACUCCCCACUCCUGUGCCACCUGCUUCCUCAUGGAGUUCUGGUUCCAACAGGUGCUUUUACUGCCAUUUUUAUAGAAUGAGAUCUUACUUUUAUAUAUUCCAGUCCAAUUUAAAAAUACACAAUGAAGUCAAAACCAACAGAUCCUUCUAUGCCA
ensembl:lncRNA